AAUGGUAUUAAUUGAUAUGAGUAUUAAUAAGGUGAUCCUGAUCAAUUGUCGGAAAAAAGAGAUGUAAAAUGCAUUUUUCUUACCGACCGUCCCUAAACCAAGUAGCAAAGGGCUUGGUGGUUGAUACCCGAGACCCAUGUUCGAAUUCUAGUUGAUUCACAUUUCAAGUUAAAUUUAUUUCUAAAUGAAAUAGACGAAGCGGGUAGCGUGCUACCUAUCUCUCAAAAAAAAAAAAUAUUUUUCUUGAGAAAAAGAUAUCAUGCUGAAAAACCGAUAUAAAAUAUUAAAAAUGAGAAAUAU
rnacentral:lncRNA from 1 species